AUUGAACGCUGGCGGCAGGCCUAACACAUGCAAGUCGAGCGGAUCGGCGGUCGGGUGCGUAAUGCCAAGGAAUCUGCCGGGUCGUGGGGGAUAACGUCCGGAAACGGGCGCUAAUACCGCAUCCUAUUAGAUUAGCAUAGGUCGGCUUGGGUGGUUGGUGGGGUAAAGGCCUACCAAGGCGACGAUCCGUAUCUGGUCUGAGAGGAUGAUCAGUAACACUGGAACUGAGACACGGUCCAGACUCCUACGGGAGGCAGCAGUGGGGAAUAUUGGACAAUGGGCGAAAGCCUGAUCCAGCCAUGCCGCGUGUGUGAAGAAGGUCUUCGGAUUGUAAAGUACUUUCAGUUGGGAGGCGUUACCAACAGAAGAAGCACCGGCUAACUUCGUGCCAGCAGCCGCGGUAAUUC
rnacentral:rRNA from 1 species